AUUCUUUGAGCCAUGUUCCUUGAAAUUUCACCAUUUGCUUUAACAAUUCUGAAGUGCCAUCUACUGGUUGAAAAGGAUACUUCGUCCUUAUAGGUGGCUAUGGUUACAUACUAUAUUAUGUGAGGGGUAGGCUACACAAUGUUGGGACUCCUUUUAUCAUCUCGCUUUCUAACAGGAUUUGCAGAAACAAAAAGUGCCAGUUAAAUUUUUUUUUCCUUGAAAAGUAGGAAUGGCCAGAUUUAGGUUUGGGAUAUAUAAUCCAAGGGAUGCUUACUAAUAGUAGUAGAAAAUAGUUAACUAUUAUGUACUGCAGUAAGAAAACAUUGCAGUUAUCAGUUUCAUCAUAUUCAUUUGAUUAGGACCCCAUUAAGAAAGAAUUGGUAAAAUUAUCUUAAACAUAAAUUUGCUACCUUUUAAAGUAAGCCUGAGCCAUUGAAAUUAAUUUUAGACCUAUCAUUGAAAAACACCUUUUUGUUGUAAAAUUUGUAUUUUGACAAGAACUUAGGAAUUAUUGUAUAGAAGAUAAAUGCUAGAAGGGGUCUUUCAGAUCAUCUGACCCACCUCCCUCUUUUUACAAUAGACAAAAUGGGAAACAAGAACAUACAUCAGGUCACACAGCUAGUAUUAAGACCCAGUGCAUAGUCAUUAUCAACAAGUUUAUAAAGUGCUUAAAAAUAUCAGAGUUGCAGAAUUUAAGUUUCAGAUUAAUAGUGCUGCCACAUUUCAUAAAUAAACUUCUGAGUUCAUUCCACUGAACUCUACAUGCUCUGAAUUUCUUUGAAAUUUUACUGAAACGUAUCUAAAAAUUCAGUUAUAGAUCCUACACUUCACACAGUAAUUCUCUGACUUCAAGAUUAAAACUAAUUUCUUCAACUUCCCUGGUGGCGCAGUGGUUAAGAAUUUGCCUGCCAGCGCAGGGGACACGGGUUCAAUCCCUGGUCCAGGAAGGUCCCAUGUGCCACGGAUCAACUAAGCCUGUGAGCCACAGCUACUGAGCCCGUGCACCGCAACUGCUGAGCCCACGCACCGCAACUAUUAAAGCGGCGCGCCUAGAGCCCCUGCUGCACAACAAGAAGACACCGCAGUGAGAAACCUGCGCACCAUGAUGAAGAGUAGCCCCCGCUCACUGAAACUAGAGAAAGCCCGUGCACAGCAACAAAGACCCAACACAGCCAUAAAGAAGGAAAGAAAAGAGGGAAGAAAGGAAGAAAUUGCCCUCAUUAUAAAUAAGUAAAUAAAACUCAUUUCUUUCUUGGGCUUCUGUCACUUGUAACAUGAGUAUAAUCCUUACAUUUGAACAAAAUUCUGCUUUUAGUUCCAACUCUAUUUCUUCUUCUUAUGAUUGGUUCUCUUGUUGCUCCAAAGCAGAAUUUAUCUACCUCAGUGCUGUUGACAUUUUGAACUAGAUAAUUCUUUUUUCUCGAGGAUGUCAUGUACAUUAUAGGAUGUUGAGCAGCAUCCUUGGCCUCCAUCCUCCAGAUGCAGCAACCCCUGGUCAUGACAAAAAAAUAUCUCCAAAAAUUGCCAAAUUUCCCCUGGGAAGCCAAAUGUUUAUCUGAAAAAAUUUAACCAAGUGUCCUGUAUGUUAUCUGACAGUAUCAUAUCACCAGUUGAAAACCACUGAUUGAAUAUACCUUCUAACUCAGCAGUCCUCAACUUCAGCUGUACAUUUGAAUCAAGUGGGAGUGCAUUGAAACACAUUGAUAAUUUGGCCUCCACUCUCACAGAUUGUUUUAUUAGUGUGAAGAGCCUUGGGCAUCAUUAUUUUUUAAAAGUUUCCCAGAUGAUUCAGAUGUACAGUCAGGAUUAAAACCAUUAGUUGGUUUUGAAACUCAGAGGUUAAAGAGGCAUCUAAAGAAAUAAGGGCAGGAUAUGAUAACUGAUUUAAUGCACUAAGGAGAUACAGGAAACAAAAAUGAAAUCUCUAAUGUUCUGCAUUAAGAGUGACCUAAUCAGGCUCAAAUAAAUUCAAGGGUUCUUUCUCUAUGAAGCCUUUCCUAACUACUCCAUCCCUCACUGAUCUUUCUUUUCCUUUCAUUUGUAUAGCACUUGGUUUACACCACACCAUUUUGCACUUACUACUUGUACAUAAUUCUUUUGUAUUUUUUAUUGUCUUUUUUCCUCCUGUACCUGGAAAGUAGGCAUCCAGUUCCCUAAUAAGCAUUGCAGUACACUCAGUAAUAAUCUUUAUUCUCAUCUCUUUACUACCCAGGAUGUUUUCAACUGUUUCAUAAGUUUUCUUUGCCCUCCCUUCUUUGUGUCAACAGGAUGUAUGUAAGCUAUAACUUCAUUAUCCAGAAGAUUCAAAUUCAGGCUUUGAGCAUUUGCCUCCCAGUCAUAUUAUUGGAAGUUAUAAUCACUUAAAACCAUCUUGCUACUAUAAAGCUAUCGUCAUUAAGACAAAGUGAUAUUGACACAAGGAUAGACAAACUGACCAAUGAAGAGAAAAAGAAGUCCAAGAAACAGACCUGCACGAGUGGUCACUUGAUUUAUGACAAAGAAAUGACUACUAAAACCCUGGGAGUGGUUGAAUGCUCUGAGUGAAAAAGUGAAGAAAAGUGAUCACGUCCAAGAUAAAAUCUUGAUAAAUGCUAUGGGAAAGCAGCAAGGGAGAGAACAGAAUUCCAGAAAGAAAAACUAUUUGGAAAAAGGCCUGAAGAAAGAAGGAGCCUGAAACAAUGUGAAGAGCUGAAAUAGAAGGCCAGUGUGGCACAGCCCAGAGGUAAACGACAGGAAAGACGAGACUGGGGGUGUCAUCAGAGAUGGUGGUGCCUUUGAAUGGGAUAGAAGAGAAAUCCACUGUGAGGGGAGAAGUGGUGUUCAUCAAAAUCCAAGCAGAGCUAUUGAGAAGAAAGUUGUAUGCAUAAGACUGCUGCCCAAUAGAUAGCUCUGAGCUGAAGAUGAUAACCUGGGAGUCGUUAUCAUGUAAACGGUCAUUGAACGCAGGGUGUGAAUGAGGUUGAUAAGGGAGAGAGAAUAGAGUAAGAAGCUAACAGAACCAGUCUGAGAC